rnacentral:rRNA from 1 species
AGAGUUUGAUUCUGGCUCAGAACGAACGCUGGCGGCGCGCCUAAUACAUGCAAGUCGAGCGAGAAGGUGUAGCAAUACACUUGUAAAGCGGCGAACGGGUGAGGAAUGCAUGGGUAAUCUACCAUCGAGUGGGGAAUAACCAGCCGAAAGGCUGGCUAAUACCGCGUACGCUUCCGGGUUUUCGGGUCCGGAAGGAAAGCCAUGCCGUGGGUAUGGCGCUCUUUGAUGAGCUCAUGUCCUAUCAGCUUGUUGGUAGGGUAACGGCCUACCAAGGCUUUGACGGGUAGCUGGUCUGAGAGGACGAUCAGCCACACUGGCACUGCGACACGGGCCAGACUCCUACGGGAGGCAGCAGUAAGGAAUAUUGCGCAAUGGGCGACAGCCUGACGCAGCGACGCCGCGUGGGGGAUGAAGGUCUUCGGAUUGUAAACCCCUUUCGGGAGGGAAGAUGGGGCAGGUAACUGCUCGGACGGUACCUCCAGAAGCAGCCACGGCCAACUUCGUGCCAGCAGCCGCGGUAAUACGAAGGUGGCAAGCGUUGUUCGGAUUCACUGGGCGUACAGGGUGUGUAGGCGGUUUGGUAAGCCUUCUGUUAAAUCUUCGGGCCCAACCCGGAAAGCGCAGAGGGGACUGCCAGGCUAGAGGGCGGGAGAGGAGCGCGGAAUUCCCGGUGUAGCGGUGAAAUGCGUAGAGAUCGGGAGGAAGGCCGGUGGCGAAGGCGGCGCUCUGGAACGUACCUGACGCUGAGACACGAAAGCGUGGGGAGCA